rnacentral:rRNA from 1 species
UGGGGAAUAUUGGACAAUGGGCGAAAGCCUGAUCCAGCCAUGCCGCGUGUGUGAAGAAGGUCUUCGGAUUGUAAAGCACUUUAAGUUGGGAGGAAGGGCAGUAAGCGAAUACCUUGCUGUUUUGACGUUACCGACAGAAUAAGCACCGGCUAACUCUGUGCCAGCAGCCGCGGUAAUACAGAGGGUGCAAGCGUUAAUCGGAAUUACUGGGCGUAAAGCGCGCGUAGGUGGUUCGUUAAGUUGAAUGUGAAAGCCCCGGGCUCAACCUGGGAACUGCAUCCAAAACUGGCGAGCUAGAGUAGGGCAGAGGGUGGUGGAAUUUCCUGUGUAGCGGUGAGAUGCGUAGAUAUAGGAAGGAACACAAGUGGCGAAGGCGACCACCUGGGCUCAUACUGACACUGAGGUGCGAAAGCGUGGGGAGCAAACAGG